rnacentral:rRNA from 1 species
GACGUAGGAGGCGAGCGUUGUCCGGAUUCAUUGGGCGUAAAGCGCGUGUAGGCGGCCAUACAGGUCCGUUGUGAAAACUCGAGGCUUAACCUCGAGACGUCGAUGGAAACCGUAUGGCUAGAGUCCGGAAGAGGAGAGUGGAAUUCCUGGUGUAGCGGUGAAAUGCGCAGAUAUCAGGAAGAACACCCGUGGCGAAGGCGGCUCGCUGGGACGGUACUGACGCUGAGACGCGAAAGCGUGGGGAGCGAACAGG